rnacentral:rRNA from 1 species
UCGAUCUAGGUGUAAGUUACGGUCGCAUGCGACACGUGCUUUUCAAUAGUUCGGUCCAGUUAAUGCUCUCGUACUCCUUCCCCAUGUAAAAGCCGGUCAUCUAUCCGACCCGUCUUGAAACACGGACCAAGAGUUUAUCGUGUGCGCAAGUCUUUGGGUGUUAAAAACCUAAAAGCGAAAUGAAAGUAAAUGGCUCUUUAGGAGUCUGAUGUGCGAUCUUGUAAAAAAGUGCAGCAUGGCCCCAUUCUAACUGUUUACAGUAGGGUGGCGGAAGAGCGUACGCGGUGAGACCCGAAAGAUGGUGAACUAUUCCUGAGCAGGACGAAGCCAGAGGAAACUCUGGUGGAAGUCCGAAGCGGUUUCUGACGUGCAAAUCGAUCGUCUGACUUGGGUAUAGGGCGAAAGACUAAUCGAACCAUCUAGUAGCUGGUUCCCUCUGAAGUUUCCCCCAGGAUAGCUGGAGCUCACGAGUAGUUAUACUCGGUAAAGCGAAUGAUUAGAGGACUUGGGAACGAAAUGUUCUUAACCUAUUCUCAAACUCUAAAUGGGUAUGAUGUCAAAGUUGCUUGAUUUUGAAACUUUGGCGUUGAAUACGAGCUCCAAGUGGGCCAUUUUUGGUAAAGCAGAACUGGCGAUGUGGAUGAACCAAACGCGGAGUUGCGGUGCCAAAGUGCCCGCUCAUUAGACCCCAUAAAAGGUGUUGGUUGAUACAGACAGCAGGACGGUGGCCAUGGAAGUCGGAAUCCGCUAAGGAGUGUGUACAACUCACCUGCCGAAUCAACUAGCCCUGAAAAUGGAUGGCGCUGGAGCGGGCCACCUAUACUCUGCCGUCAUAUGCUUGUAUUUUUGAGUCUUGCAAUGACGUGUAAGAGGGUCGUAGUGGUUGUGUUGAAGGCUUUGGGUGUGCACCCAGCUGGAGCUUCCACUAGUGCAGAUCUUGGUGGUAGUAGCAAAUAUUAAGUGAGAUCCUUGAAGACUGAAGUGGAGAAGGGUUCCACGUGAACAGCAGUUGAAUGUGGGUCAGUCGAUCCUAAGGCACCGGCUAAAGCCGUCUAGACACUGCGGGGAGAUGAGAUACUUAACGGUAUUUUGUCCACCCGGUUGCCGAAAGGGAAGUGGGUUAAUAUUCCCACACCAGGCAUGGGAGAUGGUGAUCCGCAAGGAUUACUUUGCGCGGUGACGCAAACGAACUCGUAGACCUCGUGUGGAGUCCGGGCCAGAGUUCUCUUUUCUGGUUUAAGAGAUCAUGUCCCUGGAAGUGGCUCAGCCUGAGAUGGGAUGCUGGUCUCGUAAAGCGCAGCGGUUCCUGUUGUGUCUCGUGUGCUCCACAUGAGCCGUGAAAAUGCGAGGGAGGCCAAUUUAAAAUCUCCUGCCUGAUCGUACCCAUAUCCGCAGCAGGUCUCCAAGGUGAACAGCCUCUAGUCGAUAGAAUAAUGUAGGUAAGGGAAGUCGGCAAAUUAGAUUCGUAACUUCGGGAAAGAAUUGGCUCUAAAGGUUGGGUCAAUCGGGCUGUUGUGUGAAACAGGUGGACUUUGCUCGUGGCUGCUUGCGCUUCCUUUCGGGGCGCGCUUGUGGACUAGUAGUGAGGACUGCUUGUGGAGCGCUUCAGCUGCGUGCUAUUUCGCAAGAUAUAGUACUUCGAUUGGCGCUGAACAACCAGUUUAGAACUGGCACGAACUCCGGGAAUCCGACUGUUAAUUAAAACAGAGGAGACGGAUGGUCCUUGCAGGACGUUGACCGUGUCUGAUUUCUGCCCAGUGCUCUGAAUGUUAAGCCAAGGAAACUUGAUUAAGCGCGGUAAACGGCGGGAGUAACUAUGACUCUCUUAAGGUAGCCAAAUGCCUCGUCGGCUAACUACCGACGCGCACGAAUGGAUCAACGAGAUCCCACUGUCCCUAUCUACUAUCUAGCGAAACCACAGCCAAGGGAACGGGCUUGGCAAAUUUAGCGGGAAAGAAGACCCUGUUGAGCUUGACUCUAGUCUGACUUUGUGAAGAAUCAUGAGAGGUGUAGCAUAAGUGGGAGUCGCAAGACAACAGUGAAAUACCACUACUUUCAUCGAUUCCUUACUUAAUCGGUAAAACGGGAGUUGUGUCUACGGACCUUCAUUUUGUUUUAAGACUAGCCACUCGGUGUUGGUUGACUCGCGCCGAUGACAUUGUCAGGCGGGGAGUUUGACUGGGGCGGUACAUCUGUCAAAUUGUAACGCAGGUGUCCUAAGGCGAGCUCAGAGAGGACGGAAACCUCUCGUUGAGCAAAAAGGCAAAUGCUUACUUGAUCUUGAUUUUCAGUACGAAUACAGACCGCGAAAGCGUGGCUUAUCAUCCUUUUGAGUUUGUAAAGUUUACAGCAAGGGUGUCAGAAAAGUUACCACAGGGAUAACUGGCUUGUGGCGGCCAAGCGUCCAUAGCGACGUCGCUUUUUGAUCCUUCGAUGUCGGCUCUUCCUAUCAUUGCGAAGCAGAAUUCGCCAAGCGUUGGAUUGUUCACCCACCAAUAGGGAACGUGAGCUGGGUUUAGACCGUCGUGAGACAGGUUAGUUUUACCCUACUAAAUACUUGUUGCUAUGAUGGUAAUCCUGCUUAGUACGAGAGGAACCGCAGGUUCAGACAUUUGGUUCAUGUGCUUGGUCGAUAGGCCAAUGGCGCGAAGCUACCAUCUGAGGGAUUAUGACUGAACGCCUCUAAGUCAGAAUCCGCCCAGUCAUGAUAGCAAUAUAUAUCGCUCUCCGGUGUCGGAAGGCAAAAUGUAUGCCACUUUUGUGGUAGUACAAGCCCAGUAUCUGGCAUUUUCUUUCUACUAUAAUUGGUAGUUGGUUGCUAAAAGCUUAGCACUCCUCGUGCAGGUGUAACGUCGGGGCGCAAAAUCACUUGUAUACGACUUGAAUACUGGUCAGGGGGUUGUAUCCAGUAGAGCAGCUCUUCGCUGCGAUCUGUUGAGACUUAGCCCUUGAUCGGAUGAUUUGUCUUUUUAUA